GACGAACGCUGGCGGCGUGCUUAACACAUGCAAGUCGAGCGGUAAGGCCCUUUCGGGGUACGACGAGCGGCGAACGGGUGAGUAACACGUGGGUGACCUGCCCUCAGCUCUGGGAGUAAGCCCGGGAAACUGGGUCGUAAUACCGGAUAUGACUCCAUGACGCAUGUUGUGGGGUGGAAAGCCUUGUGCGGCUGAGGAUGGGCCCGCGGCCUAUCAGCUUGUUGGUGGGGUGAUGGCCACCAAGGCGACGACGGGUAG
rnacentral:rRNA from 1 species